CCCAGACUCCUACGGGAGGCAGCAGUGGGGGAUAUUGCACAAUGGGGGGAACCCUGAUGCAGCGACGCCGCGUGGGUGAAGGAGCGUUUCGGCGCGUAAAGCCCUAUCGGCAGGGAAGAAGGAGGACGGUACCUGACUAAGAAGCCCCGGCUAACUACGUGCCAGCAGCCGCGGUAAUACGUAGGGGGCAAGCGUUAUCCGGAUUUACUGGGUGUAAAGGGGGCGCAGACGGCAGCGCAAGCCAGGAGUGAAAGCCCGGGGCCCAACCCCGGGACUGCUCUUGGAACUGCGCGGCUGGAGUGCAGGAGGGGCAGGCGGAAUUCCUGGUGUAGCGGUGAAAUGCGUAGAUAUCAGGAGGAACACCGGUGGCGAAGGCGGCCUGCUGGACUGCGACUGACGUUGAGGCCCGAAAGCGUGGGGAGCAAACAGGAUUAGAUACCCGCGUAAA
rnacentral:rRNA from 1 species